rnacentral:lncRNA from 1 species
UAAAAUAGGCCUAAGUCGAAAUCCUGUGUGAAGCAACAUGCUUCGACACUUUGACACACUAACACAACUCAACACACUAGGUGGUUCGGCACUUCCUUGCUUUUGUCGAGCAACCUGCUUCGACACAAGAAAUUAUAAUUCAACACACCACCUAAUUCAUUGUGUCUAAGCUAUCUACAUUCAUCAUAGCUUUUAGUGUUCUGAACACUACGAC